GUCCACGCCAUAAACGAUGGGUACUAGGUGUUCGGGGUAUUGACCCCCUGAGUGCCGCAGCUAACGCAUUAAGUACCCCGCCUGGGGAAUACGGCCGCAAGGUUAAAACUCAAAGGAAUUGACGGGGGCCCGCACAAGCGGUGGAGCAUGUGGUUUAAUUCGACGCAACGCGAAGAACCUUACCUGGGCUAGACAACAUCGGACCGCUCUAGAAAUAGGGCCUUCCCGCAAGGGACCGGUGGUUCAGGUGCUGCAUGGCUGUCGU
rnacentral:rRNA from 1 species